rnacentral:rRNA from 1 species
CGGGUGAGUAACACGUGGGCAACCUUUCCCAUCGUGGGGGAGUAACACCGGGAAACCGGUGCUAAUACCGCAUGUGAUCGCUGGAGGCAUCUCCAGCGAAGAAAGCAGCAAUGGCGCGAUGGGGUGGGCCCGCGGCCUAUCAGCUUGUCGGUGGGGUAACGGCCUACCGAGGCUUUGACGGGUAGCUGGUCUGAGAGGACGACCAGCCACACGGGGACUGAGACACGGCCCCCG